ACUAACUAGGAUUCCCUUAGUAGCGGCGAGCGAAACGGGAUGAGCCCAUCACUGAAUCCUACGUGCCACUUUGAGUGAGUGCGUUGGGAAAUGUAGUGUAAAGGAUGAUUCAACUAAUUUCAUAGCUCGGCGGUGCGUCCAAGUUCUUCUUGAAUGAGACUUUGCUAUCCCAUAGAGGGUGCGAGGCCCGUAGAGACCAUCACUGAGCUUUGAAAGAGUCUAUCCUAAGAGUCGGGUUGCUUUAGAGUGCAGCCUUAAGUGGGUGAUAAACAUCAUCUAAGGCUAAAUAUGACCACGAGACCGAUAGCGAACAAGUACCGUGAGGGAAAGUUGAAAAGAACUUUGAAGAGAGAGUUCAAUAGUACGUGAAACCGUAUAGAUGUAAACCUGAGAAACCCGAAUAAACGAACUAAGAGAUUCACCAUCGAACGUAUCGAUCGAUGUUAGUCGUCCAUGCUGUUAUUAAAUGUAGUUGCGAUAAUGUUUUAGUUUUGAGAUAAACAGUCAUCCUGCAGACUCUCUUAACAUAUGUAUCACACGUGGACGGCUACAUCACCAAACAUGGUCGUGCGGACGUGUGCAAUUCUCUUCUAGUAGUACGCUGUGACCUGUUGGGUGUUAGUUGAUGGCUUGUGAACGGAGCCUAUGCUGCCGCGCCGCUUAGCAAUAAGCGAUGUGGUGUGUGUAGACGUUGUACAAUGACCUAGCUAACCGCUCGACAGUAUCAAACGCAUUCAGACAUUUAGGCCGUCGAUGUGUUCGCAUCCGACCCGCGACAAGCACAACCGUUCAACCUAAUGCUACGAUUGCAUCGCCUUAUGAGCGCUGGUCGUCAUUGGUUACGCGUUGGCUGUUUCGUUGCGGUGUUAUCGGAUCGUGCCUCUAUGUUCUAUCAACAGCGCAAUAGUUUUGGGUAAUUUCAGGACCCGUCUUGAAACACGGACCAAGGAGUUUAGCAUAUACGCGAGUCAUUGGGACUAGCUAAUCCUAAAGGCGUAAUGUAAAUGAAAUUGUAUAUUGCACUAUAUGUGUAAAUAAUAUGUGGGAAGAUGGGCACCGUCUAAGGCUGCCCCGCACUCCCGGGGCGUUUCAUUCGUAUUGCACGAUGAGGCGCUCUCGUAGCGUAUAUGCUGAUACCCGAAAGAUAGUGAGCUAUGCUUGAUCAGGACGAAGUCAGGGGAAACUCUGAUGGAGGUCCGCAGCGAUUCUGACGUGCAAAUCGAUCGUCGGAAUUGAGUAUAGGGGCGAAAGACCAAUCGAACUAUCUAGUAGCUGGUUCCCGCCGAAGUUUCCCUUAGGAUAGCUGGCAUUCAAACCAUAAAUAAAUAGAUAUAUAUAUCUAUCUAUCAUUACGCUAAUAGUAUCUGGUAAAGCGAAUGAUUAGAGGCAUUGGGGACGAAACGUCCUCAACCUAUUCUCAAACUUUAAAUGGGUGAGAACUAUGACUUACAUAAAUGAAGUCUUAUAAUUAAUUGUGUAUACGAAUGCUAAG
rnacentral:rRNA from 1 species